CCAGAAUAUGGUUGUUAGUAAAUGAUAAUGUGUUGUUAUUGGGCAGAGUAUUCUAUCAAUGUCAGUGUUAUCAGAUUGGUUAAUAGGGUUGUACAAGUCUUCUAUAUCAUUGAUUUUCUACCUAUUUUUUUUAUCAUUGAGAGAAGAUUAACCAUAAUGGCUUUUUCUCUUUUUCCUUUUAGUUCUAUUUCUUUCUGCUUUAUAUAGUUUGAAGCUCUGUCAUGUGGUGUGAAAUGUUAGGAUUGAUUAAUUGACCCCAUUAUCAUGAUUGAUUGAUUACUUCAUUUGUUCCAUUUGGCUAGCAAAAGUCAUAUCAGUUUGGCUCCUGGAUAUUUUUGACACAAUUUCAAGUUUUUCAUAGCCUCCUUGUUUCUGGCAUUAUAAGAUAUUCCAAAAUAAUUUGUGCAUGUCCUUCUGCAAACCUGGAGUAAAUCGUUUCUCCCAGAAGCGUAGCUCCUUUUGUUGGAAAAUGUUACUUAGAGACUAUAAUCUGUGUGCUAGGGUUUCUUAUAGGUAUUCCAUGGUAGCCAUAUUAUCUAGGCUUUUUCAGUGGGCAGAGCUAGGAAAUUCAGAUUUUUUAAAAUGAGAAAAAGAAAUCCUAGUUUACAGUGACAUUUCCAAUUAAAAAAAAUUUUUUUUUUUUUUUUGGUAUCAGGGAUUGAACCCAGGGACACUUACAC
rnacentral:lncRNA from 1 species